rnacentral:misc_RNA from 1 species
AGAGAAUUGAAGAUUACAUCUUGGUUUGCUAAAUCACAGCCAAGGUAUAUUAAAAAAAAAAAAAUACAGCAUGCUUAAAGCCAACCUCAACCAUUGAUUAAGAUUCAAAAUCCUUAUACAAAAACCAAUCAGAGGCAGAGCAGAGAUGGUAACUGGGAAGAUUAAGGGACUCAUCGGAUCGACUUACCGGCGCUGCUGUCACCACGCCGUUGAUCCAGUGCCAUCACCUCCAAGCAAGUCAUCCUCCUCCUCCUCUUCUUCUUCUAGCUUCAGCUCACCCUUUUUCUUCUUUCUAUCCAAUCCAUAUUCCCUUGCCUCAUCCUCCUCCAAAUACUCUUCCAAUUCCUUUAUCUUCAAAAACUUAUCCUCUAUUCCUUCUCCACCUUUCCCCUCCCCCAUUUCACCACUCUCAUCUUCAUUCUCUCCCUUCUCACUCUCUCUUCUUCCACCUUCCUCUUCCUCUUCCUCAUCAUCAAAUUCAUCCAUAUCCAUAUCCAUGUCAUCGUCAUCAACAUCAUCAUCAAAGCGUUUGGUUUCCUUCUCUUCUAGAAUCUUCCUUUCCCCAUCAAGGAACUCAUUCUCCUUCUUCAAGACUAUCUUGCUCUCCUCGGGAUGCUUCUCCAAGUGCUUGACUUGUCGACGGAGGGUGGAGAGCAGAGGCUGCGAAAGCAGGUCAAUUUGCUGCCAAAUCUGCUCGGCAUCAAAGCCAUCAGUUAAAAGUUGAUCGAACGGCGAUUUAGGAGCGUAUGGUUUGAGGCAAGAGAAUAGGUGUUGAGACGCCGUCCGCGCUGUUUGGGAGAGCGUGGGCGAUGGUGCCAACAAUGCUGGAGGGUCCGUGGAUUUCAGGUGGUGCAGGGCUUCCAUCCCUGUUUCGCUUGGUUUAGCCAUUCCCAAAUUUGAUCGAUAUCUGCACGCCUGUGUGCGCCUGUGUUUAAAGUUGGGGUUAGGGUUUUAGGCUUUAGCCUUUGUUUCUGAG